rnacentral:rRNA from 1 species
CGACCAUAUAGCGUUGAAACACGGGUUCCCGUACGAUCACUGAAGUUAAACAACGUCGAGCCAGCUCAGUACCUAGAUGGGUGACCGCUUCGGAAUACCAGGCACGG